UGCAGUCGACGAUGAAGCCUCGCUUGUGGGGUGGAUUAGUGGCGAACGGGUGAGUAACACGUGAGUAACCUGCCCUUGACUCUGGGAUAAGCCUGGGAAACUGGGUCUAAUACUGGAUACGACCAUCUGGCGCAUGCCAUGGUGGUGGAAAGCUUUUGUGGUUUUGGAUGGACUCGCGGCCUAUCAGCUUGUUGGUGGGGUAAUGGCCUACCAAGGCGAUGACGGGUAGCCGGCCUGAGAGGGUGACCGGCCACACUGGGACUGAGACACGGCCCAGACUCCUACGGGAGGCAGCAGUGGGGAAUAUUGCACAAUGGGCGCAAGCCUGAUGCAGCGACGCCGCGUGAGGGAUGACGGCCUUCGGGUUGUAAACCUCUUUCAGUAGGGAAGAAGCGAAAGUGACGGUACCUGCAGAAGAAGCGCCGGCUAACUACGUGCCAGCAGCCGCGGUAAUACGUAGGGCGCAAGCGUUAUCCGGAAUUAUUGGGCGUAAAGAGCUCGUAGGCGGUUUGUCGCGUCUGCUGUGAAAGACCGGGGCUCAACUCCGGUUCUGCAGUGGGUACGGGCAGACUAGAGUGAUGUAGGGGAGACUGGAAUUCCUGGUGUAGCGGUGAAAUGCGCAGAUAUCAGGAGGAACACCGAUGGCGAAGGCAGGUCUCUGGGCAUUAACUGACGCUGAGGAGCGAAAGCAUGGGGAGCGAACAGGAUUAGAUACCCUGGUAGUCCAUGCCGUAAACGUUGGGCACUAGGUGUAGGCAUGCUACAUGCCGGAUACAUGCUGCCAAUCUGGUGAAGUGGACCUUAUUCCGAAAAGCCAGUUCUUCAAUCUCGAAUUGUCG
rnacentral:rRNA from 1 species